rnacentral:lncRNA from 10 species
CUCGGCUCACUGCAACCUCCGCCUCCUGGGUUCAAGCGAUUCUCCUGCCUCGGCCUCCCAAGUAGCUGGGAUGACAGGCAUGUGCCACCACGCCCAGCUAAUUUUGUACUUUCAGUAGAGACGGGAUUUCUCCAUGUUGGUCAGGCUGGUCUCGAAAUCCUGACCUCAGGUGAUCCGCCAGCCUCGGCCUCCCAAAGUGCUGGGAUUACAGGCGUGAGCCACCGCAUCUGGCCGAUCUGUGGUCAUUCUAUGGACAAGAAAACUGAAACUGAUGAGACUUGUGUCACAACUGAUAGGCUGAGACCUUGGCAAGAAAAUGACAGGAUGUCAGAGCUGGCCAGGUCAUUGAGCCCAACCUCAUUUUACACGUGCGGGAACUAAGGCCCAGAGAGGCAAAGUAACUUGCCAGGGGUCACCCAGCAGGUAAACCAGGCCAGGACUCAGACGCAGAGACAGUACUGGUUAUGGGUAGUGGUGGUCAGAGGGGUCAGUCCUUGUUCCUUCAGUUCACAUUUAGGGCUGUCAUGUGUGGUGGUGCAAUGUGGACACAGUGCAAAGGCAUUCGACUGGGUGUGAGUGCAGUGUGCCGGCCCAGCUGUGUGCCCUAGAACAUCUUCCACCCAUGGCCGCUGCCCUCUUCCACUGCCUGCCACUGCGUGAUCAGCCUGGCAUUCUGCAGAUCCCGAGCCACACAUCCAGUUUCCAAGGGGUCCCCCACACCCCUUGUCCUGACCACUGCUAGGGGUAUAAGCAGCAGAAGCCUGUCAUCUGUUGGGGAGCGGGUCCCUGACUCCCCUUUCCCACCCUCUGCCGCCUCCUCGUGCUUCCCUAGUGUCCACCAAAGGAGACAGGGCUGGGAGCGCUGCCCGGGGCCCAGGUCCUCCCUAAUGACAGCAUGCACGAAAGCCCGCUUCUCACAUCUGAUUCCAGGAGAAAGAGCGGCGUGUCCAGCAAGAUAAGUUUAUCCACCAUCUCGGGGAAGGUACAGAAAAACUGUGAGGAUGCCAAAAGGGGAGAAUGAAUAGGGGGAAGAAGGAAAGGACACUCCCGCCUUUCCCUGGGGACCCUGGAGUUCCCCGAAACAUCUUUUAGGCUGGGGGGAGGGUGCUGACCAAGAGGCCAGAGGAGAAUCUUCUAUCUAUGGUGUGCCUUCCCCCACCACCCCUAAGUCUGCACCCAGCACUGAGCUCCAGACCUUGGUGAUGGCUGGACUCCAGGGUGCGGUGGGACCGGGUAUGGGGGCGUGGAAACAUGAACUCUACCAGGAGUCUCCACCGUUUACACCAACUUCCUGGUAUAAGGACUGUCACUGUGACAGGAGGAGGCACUUUCUGUCCCAGAUCUCAUAAGUGCAGGGGAAAGGGGUGGGGCAGCAGCUCCUAUCCUUCCCUCCCAGCCCUACUCCGGGCCCGGUCAGCUCCUGGCCACUGUACUCACCGAAGCUGUGGCCCAGAAUGGAGAAUCGAUUCCAUUUCAAGGCUGGAAAUGCAAGGAGCCAGAAGGUCCGGCUGGGCACAGGCUCAGCCCACGAUCUUGCUUCUAGUCCCCAGGCUCAGGAAAUCCCUUCCCAGCAUCUGGGGUGUCCACCCAGGACACUAGCUUGGGGGACCCACUGGAGGAAGCGAACUCUUCAACUUUCCCAAGAUCUCCCGUGAAUUGCUGGCAGACCUGGGGCCAGAGCCCAGGCCCCACUCUCAGGCCAGCGCUGCUUCCUGGAUCCUACCCCGCCUCCAGUGAUAAGAGGGGGUGCCCUAGAGCACCCCCCACACCGCCGAAAAUACACACUCUGUUUCUUACCUGCCACAACUCUUCGGAUCUCACUCACAAAAGUCUGGAGGUAAUAUGGGACACCUGGGCUGUAAUGGGACGAGAGCCCAUGACCUCCGAAAUCCAUGGCAACGUAAUAAAAGUCUGAAACAG